rnacentral:rRNA from 1 species
UACGGAGGGGGCUAGCGUUGUUCGGAAUAACUGGGCGUAAAGAGCUCGUAGGCUGCACAGCAAGUCAGUGGUGAAAUCCCGGGGCUUAACCUCGGAACUGCCAUUGAUACUGAAUGGCUUGAGUAUGAUUGAGGUAGCUGGAAUGGAUAGUGUAGCGGUGAAAUGCGCAGAUAUGCGGAGGAAUACCGGUGGCGAAGGCGGCCUCCUGGGAUAACACUGACGCUCAUGCUCGAAAGCGUGGGGAGCAAACAGG